UACGAAGGGGGCUAGCGUUGUUCGGAAUCACUGGGCGUAAAGCGCACGUAGGCGGAUCUUUAAGUCAGAGGUGAAAUCCCAAGGCUCAACCUUGGAACUGCCUUUGAUACUGGGGAUCUUGAGUCCGGGAGAGGUGAGUGGAACUGCGAGUGUAGAGGUGAAAUUCGUAGAUAUUCGCAAGAACACCAGUGGCGAAGGCGGCUCACUGGCCCGGUACUGACGCUGAGGUGCGAAAGCG
rnacentral:rRNA from 1 species